ACAAGAUGGCGGAGAGUAUAAUAAAUCUCACCCUAGAGAUCCUCUUCCGGCUUACUGGAGAGGACUACACAGUAGUGAAGAAGACCUCUAGCGAGCGCUGUCAGGACCCUUUGUCUGAAGGAUGGGGAAGAACCCUGAGCCCAAUCAUGGGGCUUCCACCUCACCUCCUGAUAUAUGAGGAAAUCAAUAGAGAGAAGAUCCUAGAACUCACCAACAAGAUGAUUGAGCUGCUGACUGGAGAGGUUCCUAUAAGGUGUCAGGAUGUCACCGUCUAUUUCUCCAUGGAGGAGUGGGAGUAUUUAGA